AAAGAAGGCGAACUGAAUUUUCAUAAAAUAUUUAAUGAAGUUUUGGGCUAUUUAUUGUUCAAAGACUUUUGUGAAAACGACUCAGAUGAACCUAUACAGCAACUUAAGUUUUUUGAACAGAUAAAAAUUUUUGAAAAAACAGAAUGUUAUGAUGAGAGAAAAAAAAUGGCAAGAGAUAUUUAUGACAAUUUUAUAAUGGAGGAAAUGCUGUCGCACACCUA